AUGCUCGCUUCGGCAGCACGUAUACUAAAAUUGGAACGACACGGAGAAGGUUAGCAUGGCCUCUGCACAAGGAUGACACACAAAUUCGUGAAGCGUUCCAUAUUUUA
rnacentral:snRNA from 1 species